UGGCGCUAAUGCGGGAGGUGCUAUCCUCUUCAAGUCCACCUAACUACUGGCCAAUACGUACGAUAUUGACAUUGUGGGAACAAUAACUAGAGACGAACAAUCUACUUUCAUCCAGAUCGAGCAGGCGACGCAUAGUGUGUUGUUUCAUCAAUUUAGCUGGCCAAAAGUCCCUUAGAAGUAAUAUGUAUCAAUGUAGACCCCUUUUCAACAUUGGAAUGAAGGGCACACAUCUGAAGUAGUUGACAAAAUAAGUCUGAUUUGCGAUAUUUGAUCAACCAUAGGUGAUAGUUGUUAGGGUCUUAAAUAUUUAUUCAACCAAGAAUACCUCAAAAUGAAUUAUGGUUCGCUUAAGAACAGACUAGGAUUCAUGGAUGACCAUCCAAUAAAGAGCGGCCACGCAUAUCCACAAUCUUAUCAGUUUUGGUACCAUUUGAGAGACACUACAUAAAUUUGAAAAGUUAAGCUUUUCAUUUUUAGUGUUAGUUUAUUCUAUUUCUGUUUGAUUCACCGAGAGUGAAGACAUUUACCCGCUUACAAUUA